UUUGAAGAUUCGUGGAGGAUCGGCUGGAAUUAUUGAGUCCUUAUAUGGUGUUGUCAAGCCUAUCUCCAUUUUAAACAAGAGUACAGAGGUUAGACCUUCCGGGAAGAUUGGUUCGGGUACAACAGAGAUACCAUUUUCCAUGUUUUUGAGACAGCCAGGAAAAGACAACCUAAAAAGAUUUUAUGAGACCUUCCAUGGAGCCAAUAUCAGUGCUCAGGUGAGUGUGUUUGUCUUGAUAGAAUCUCUGCAGGUUCACCUUUGUGUUGAAAGUACCAUUUGUGUUUCUCUCUUUUUUCUCCCUUAUUUAGGCAUUGUUUUUCUUAUACAUUUAAGUGACAGUGGAUGAUUAACAACACUUUUGAUAGUAUCUGGUAACCGUAGAUAUAAUAAGAGGAUACCUACAUAAAACAUUA